AACGAACGCUGGCGGCAUGCCUAACACAUGCAAGUCGAACGAGACCUUCGGGUCUAGUGGCGCACGGGUGCGUAACGCGUGGGAACCUGCCCUUAGGUUCGGAAUAACUCCCCGACAGGGGUGCUAAUACCGGAUAAUGUCUUCGGACCAAAGAUUUAUCGCCUUUGGAUGGGCCCGCGUUGGAUUAGCUAGUUGGUAGGUUAAAAGCCUACCAAGGCGACGAUCCAUAGCUGGUCUGAGAGGAUGAUCAGCCACACUGGGACUGAGACACGGCCCAGACUCCUACGGGAGGCAGCAGUGGGGAAUAUUGGACAAUGGGCGAAAGCCUGAUCCAGCAAUGCCGCGUGAGUGAUGAAGGCCUUAGGGUUGUAAAGCUCUUUUACCCGGGAUGAUAAUGACAGUACCGGGAGAAUAAGCUCCGGCUAACUCCGUG
rnacentral:rRNA from 1 species